UUCAAUGAAUGAAGACCGAUGGGCUACGAAGUGGAGAUGAUGUCGUCGUGUCAUUGCUCAGGCUCCGGCGCCAUCCGCCCAAGUCCGCCACCCGCCGAUCCACCGGGCUCCGCCGCCAUCCGCCCAGGUCCGCCGCCCACCGAUCCACCGGGUUUCGGCGCCACCCGCCCAGGUCCGCCGCCUGCCGAUCCACCGGGCUCCGGCGCCACCUGCUGAGCAUGCCCCUCGCCUACCCCAGGGCUGCUUCACCACCGAACGCCGCCACUUCACCAGGCAGCGCCGCCCAACUGCCACCUAUGACCUGCGCCCUCCCUACCACCCCACCCUCCCACCGCUCCAUCCUUGGGUUCCCUCACCGAACGCCCUCCCGACGACCACUUCUCCACCAGCGGCGCCACCCCGCUCCUCAGAUGCACCUCCACCAGCGAAUGGCUGCUUCGAUCAACAUCGACAGUUUCACGGCGGGCUGUUCUGCGGCAGGAGGAUUCGCGGCGUGCUUGGUGGUCUCAGUGUCCGAUGCCAUCGCGGGUUGCCUCCACUCCCCCACCGUCGCCGCUCAACUCGGUCUUCGUCGGCACCGCUCAAUUCAGCCUCUGUUGCCGCUCUCCGAUCCUCCUGCUUCGACCCCUCACCGGAUCCGUCCUUCUCCUUGCCAGCGACAUCUUCCUCCCCACGCCACUUCCUGUUCCCAUCUGGUUGAUUAUUGAUUAUUAACUUUCCGAUUUUCUCACAGUUCUGACGAGAAGAAGUAGAGCUGGGAGGAUGCGGAGUGAUGUGGUGAGGAGCAACAAUUGCAGAGCAUUAGCACUGCGGCAACACACUUCUAUGGUGGUGUAGUGCAGACACGGACGAGGAAAAGAACACAUAUACAAGCUCAUAUAUUUGUUAUCUUCUUUCCUGAAUCAUGAUUCCUGUUCCGGAACUACUUCCAUGUACAAUAUUUUGGUGUCCGACCUUGGUAUUGGUUUUCCAUUUCCUUUCUGAACACAUGAGCUUUGGUAUGGAUCUUGGGAGCAAGUCAUCCUCAGUUUGCUUCCAGUGGAGUAGUGGCGGGGAAGUGGGGGAAUAUUAGGUCCCACCACACUAAGGAGCACAUGUCUGUAGGGAAGGAGUUUAUCGAGGAUCUGUGAGCCAAUAAAUAAUACGGAGAGAUUAGUUACUAAAGAAAAUGGUACGAGGUCAAUAGUUGAAAGCCUGAAGCCAGAUGUUCCUACGAUGACGUACACAACUCUUGAGAAACAAAACCAAUACAUUAUAUGUGCCUGCAAGAUUGAAGAUCGUACAUAUAUUUACUUUGCUCCAGGAUCCUAUAGCAGUGCAUUACUCCAUGCAGUUCCCUUUAUCAUCCAUUUUAUUAUUCAUAUCUCUAUAUGGUUGUUAUAUAUAGAUCCUAUUACAGGGAUGUAGCACUAUAUUUUCCAGCCAUUGUUGUAAACAAAACACCCUCUGUACUGAUACAUAUGUUUUUUUUCUUUUAGUUAUCUCUUUUCAGAGUGGACGAGGUUUCUAGAUUGAAGAAAUUAUUUUUAGAUCGCCCUUUGGGUUUCAAAGAAUUCAGAAUAAGUUCCUACACGAGCUGUUAUUGGAUAAAUCAUGUACGACACCAUGCUUGCACCCUUAUCCCUGGAGUAUUUGCAGUUGUAUUCUUGGCUGUUCGUUGCACAAGAUGUUAUUACAUGUUGGCAUAGACAUGCAUUGCCAGUCGGAUAAGUUGACUGCAGCUACCCUCGAAGCUGCUCUUUGCAUGUAAAGGAAGCUCAGAAACAGUGUUUUCUUGAGGAAACAAAGCAUGAUUGUGGAUCUUCUCAAAAUUGUCUGGAUGAGAGUGAUUGGCUUGCAGAAUUGGCUGACAUUGGAAUGCUUGACGUGUUCGAAGAUGUUGGCCUAUAUACUGUUCAAACAACUUGUUCGUCGCAAGGCGACAAUGCGCAACUGACUUGAAACAACGUCCACCCUUUACUGCCACCAUAUACGACAGCCUGCAUUGAAGGGCCUUCGUACACCAUCGAUAAGCCGUGCCGGCUGCUUUAUAGGGGAAGCGCUCAGUCAUGUUGGGUCGCCAUUCGUGCAUCUAGAGCACGAUCGGCAAUGAUGAAGGCAAGUAUGCUGUUGUCCCCUUCUGAAGUUCUGUUUAGGCUGGGAAUCAAUCAAUGCAUUAUCUGAGUAUUGAAUUUUCUGAUUUUCUGUUGACCAAUACGUUGAGCACAAUUGUCAUAAUGAAGAGAAGAAUUAAAUGAUUUUAUUUGAAUAAAUGUGCCUUCUAACUAUGAUGAACAAGAAAAGUUUGAUAUAAAGUUAGACGUGCAUUGCACGUGCAAAUUUACUAGUUUAGGAAGGAUUUGAAGGAUCCCUCCUGUGCGCGCAUGGGUGGUGCCCAAACACUAGUAGAAAACAGGGCUUUGGUCCAGACCGAGGUGACCC